rnacentral:rRNA from 1 species
UAGCACAGGUGCUGCAUGGCCGUCGUCAGCUCGUGCCGUGAGGUGUUGGGUUAAGUCCCGCAACGAGCGCAACCCCGCCGUUAGUUGCCAGCGGUUCGGCCGGGCACUCUAACGGGACUGCCGCGAAAGCGGGAGGAAGGAGGGGACGGGCGUCUGGUCAGCAUGGCCCUUACGGCCUGGGCGACACACGUGCUACAAUGGCCGGCACAGCGGGAAGCGAGGGGGCGACCUUGAGCGGAUCCCUCAAAGCCGGUCUCAGUUCGGAUUGCAGUCUGCAACUCGACUGCAUGAAGUUGGAAUCGCUAGUAAUCGUGGAUCAGCCAAGCCGCGGUGAAUACGUUCCCGGGCCUU